ensembl:lncRNA
UUGAGAUUUCAUUUUGAUUUUUGAUGUGACUGUGUGUCGUUUUUCUUCAUAUUUAAAAACAAUGUAUAUAUACAUAUAUAUACAUCAGGGGUGUCCAAUCUUAUCCGGAAAGGGCCGGUGUGGGAGAAGGUUUUCACUCCAACCAAGCAGGAGCACACCUGAUUCCACCUGUUUAAUCAGUUGAUCUUGGCUUUCACUAGAUUCAGGUGUGGCUUCUGUUUGGUUGGAAUGAAAACCUGCACCCACACCGGCCCACACAAGAUUGGACACCUCUGAUAUACAUAACCACACAGCAAAAGAAAGAGUCCACGGGCAAAAUAUUACCCUUAACUUUACUGCAGUUCCCGCUUAUGCGAAUGUAUGAAAAAAAUACAUGAAACUACAUGAAACUACAGUUCAUGAUCAUUAGAAUAUGUUAUUAUAUCAUUUCUUUAUUUUUCCUGUGGGUUCUUCAUCUUUCCAAUUUGCUGUCUUCACACUGUGCUAACACACUUUAACGUAGUGCUCACACAUAGUCUGUGGUUCUAAACACCAAUGCAUGCACUGAUGUGUGUUGUUGUUCAUACACUAUCCAUAUUCCUUCGUGCUGUGUUUGUAACUAGAAAGAGCUGAAUCUGAGUGGUGAGUGAGGUUCAGUUUCGUGUGAUGUUCUUUAUUAGUGAUUCACUCGUUACCUUUUCAUUUCAUAUUGUGUGUGUGUGUGUGUGUGUGUGUGUGUGGUGUGGUGUUUUGUCUGUUUCACAUGUUUUUUGUUGUUGAUAUUUAGUCUUCACUCAAACUGUAAAACAUUGUAGUGCUUUGUCAGUCACCAACUGUGGUAAGUGGGGAAAUUUCCUGAAAACACAGUAGUUUGUCAGGUGUCACUCCAAUAUUUGAGAGUUAUCUGAGAAAACAGAAAAAGAAAAAGAAAAAAAACAGCUAUCUAAACAUAUGAACACACAUGCAUUGGAAACUCAUUUAGAAUAUUUACACAUAUUUACACAUUUAGAAUACAAACAAAUCCAAGUUUGCUAUGUUUUAUAAUAUUAAACCUCUCUCAAAACAAGUUUUCAUUUAGACCAAUGGCCUGCCACAAUGCACUCAGCUGGCUCCCUCUCCAUGUGUUACUCAUUCUAAGCGCUACGUGGAAAGGGUCAGGGAUAGGUGUUCACUGAUUCUCCUAUCCAGUCAUUUAAGUGCAUUGGGCUAUGGCAAAUAAUCAUUCUUAUUUAUAGACUGUGUACACUUUUCUACAUGUACACUGUUUGUUUCGUGUAACUGAGCAGGAAUGAAUAAGUAGUACUAUAUUAACCCCCAAGUCACAGCUAAUUAAUAUGGCUAAUUACUCAGUAUGUAAUAUGGUAAAUGAUCUGCACUUAUAUAGCACUUUCUUUUUUUUAACCUUAGCAGUUCUACAAAGUUCUUUACACUGGUUCUCAUUCACCCAUUCACACACACACACACACACACACACACACACACACACACACCAUCAUUAGCAGAGCUGCCAUGCAAGGCGCUAACUUGCCACGAGGACCAACUUGGGGUUCAGUGUCUUGCCCAAGGACACUUCGGCAUGUGGAGUCAUGUGGGCCUGGACUCGAACCGUCAACCCUACGAUUAACGGACAACCCGCUCUACUACCUGAGCCACAGCCGUCCUUUACUUUAAUAAUGAAGUCAUGAUUUGGUAGUUUAUUAUGAACUAAGUAAUAAUUACAGAUGCUGCAUCCAAAAUUGCGUGUUGUUACAGUACGUACUGCAUUCGAUUCAGUACCCACAGCUCGGUCGCUGAUACAGUACAUACUGAUCAGUAUAUGUGUGUAGUAUGAAUACAAUCCGGACGUAUGUGAGCUACGAUGUCAUCAUAACCGCAAAGCUUAAAGAGCCCACCAGAUUAGAACAAAAAAACAUCCUAACACUUAAAAAGAGCCGACGCACUGCCUUCUGCCAUUUUUUAUUCUGACAGCUCUUCCACGCCAGUCCUGUUGCCUUAUGGGAUAGCGCAGUGUCUAUUGGUUCCCUGCUGCAGAAUCUCAGCGGAAGCAGCAGGACAUCUGGGUAUUUCUCGCCUACUGUUUUAUGAAUUCUGACAAUUCGGACAACCUUUGGCGUACUGCUUUCCAACUACAGUAUAGCAGGGUUAGGAGGGUUCCUUUAAAAAUGUAUAAGGUUACAUUUACAAAUUACUUCAUAAAAAACGUCAUUAGUAACGUAAUCCAAGUAUCACAAUAUAUGAAAGUAAUGUAAUCAGAUUAUUUUUGUAUUAAUUUAAGGUCACAUAUGUAAAUAAAGUCAAGAGGAAAACUAUAUGAUCUCAAAUACUUUUAUUUAGAGCUUCAAACAUUCAGUGUUUGGAUUUGUUUUAAUAAAAUAAAUGCAGGUGUUGCUCAGGUGAGUCACAGCUGGCGAGAGAGAACCAGAACUAUAAUCCAGCAGCUGUCUAUGUAUUGUGUCAUAUCAAAAGAUUAACUUCUUUGGUUUUAAAUGAAAAAAAAUUGUAAUCCUGAUAGUAUUCAUAUAUAUAUAUAUAUAUAUAUAUUGUACAAAAUGUACCUGUAAUCCGAUUACUUUGUUUUUUGAAGUAACUGUAAAGGAUUACAGUUAGCAUUUUUUUUGUAUCCUGGUUAAAUAACGCCGUUACAUGUAUUCUGCUACCUCCCAAGCCUGCUGUACAGUUGGGUGGUAGGGAUAUUCAGACGCAGCUCGAGUCUUAUAUAUCUUCUGGAGAAGUACUAUUAAAGAUGUAAUGAGUAAUUAGGUGCUGUACAUCACAAUACUGUUCCAGAUCAUCAUUAACUUCUAAACCCAUGUAUAUUGUACUUACUGAAGUGUUGAUGUAGGCUACCUUGCAUAUGUAAGUUGUUCUUCAAUCGGUAGGUAAGAACACAUUUGAGGAGCUGAUGUGGUUAGUAAUUAAUUUGUAGUCAGUAAGUAGUUCUCCUGGAGAUACAUAAGACUCUAAUAAGACUCUACUAUAAUUAUUGCUCAGUUCAUAACAAACUACCGAACCACAGUAUUGAGUUAUUGAACAGUAUUAACAGUAUUGAACAGUAAGUGUUACAGAAAAAUUUAAGUUCUAGAUAUUUAAUUGAAUUUCAUUUGAAAUCUUUUGUAUAUAUCCCCCAACACACACACAAACCAGUUUUACAGAUAUCCUGUAGAUCUGAAUCCCUAAUGAGUAAGUCAGCAAUUAUCCAUAUACUGUAAUACUGUAAUAUUAUUAUCCACUGGAGCAGGAAGGAGUACAUAAAGUUCCAGAUAAAGGAGCAGAAGUAGAGCAUCAGGAUGAAUCAGGCAGGUCUGGAGAACAAGAAGAACCCCAGCUGGACAAGUGUGCCAAGAUCUGGUGCCAGCAUCAUAUUGGGCAGCACGGCUCUGACUCGUCGAGGCACGGACUCCGCAAGACAUCUGAAGGUGUGCUGUGGUAUCUGGCUCCAAGACAUUAGCAGCAGAUCCUUUAAGUCCUGUGAGUUGUGAGGUGAGACCUCCAUGGAUCGGACUUGUUUGUCCAGCACAUCCCACAGACGCUCGAUUGAGAUCUGAGGAAUUUGGAGGCCGAGUCAACACCUUGAACACUUUGUCAUGUUCCUCAAACUGUUCCCGAACCGUUUUUGCAGUGUGGCAGGGAGCAAUACCCUGCUGAAAGAGGCCACAGCCAUUAAGGAAUACUGCUGCCAUGAAGAGGUGUACUUGGUCUGCAACAAUGUUUAUAUAGGUGGUACGUGUCAAAGUAACAACCACAUGAAUGCCAGGACCCGAGGUUCCCAGCAGAACAUUGCCCAGAGCAUCACACUUCCUCCGCCUGCUUGCCUUCUUCCCCUAGUGCAUCCUGGUGCCAUCUCUUCCCCAGGUAAGCGACACACACACACACGGCCAUCCACAUUACGUAAAAGAAAAUGUGACUCAUCAGAAGAUGUGACUCACCUUCUUCCGUUGCCCCAUUAUGCAGUUCUGAUGCUCACGUGCCCAUUGUAGGUGCAUUGGGCAGUUUACUGAGGUCAGCAUGGGCACUCUGACCAGUCUGCAGCUACACAGCCUCAUACACUGCAAGUUGUAAUGCACUGUGUUCUGACACCUUUCUAUCAGAGCCAGCAUUCAAUCUUUCAGCAAUUUGCACUACAGUAGCUCUUCUGUGGGAUCGGACCAGAUUAGCUAGCCUCCGCUCCCCAUGUGCAUCAGUGAGCCUUGCGCACUCAUGACUCUGUUGCUGGUUCACCGGUUGUUCUUCCUUGGACCACUUUUUAUAGGUUCUAACCACUGCAUCCUGGGAACACCCCACAAGACCUGCUGUGUUGGAGAUGCUCUGACCCAGUCGUCCAGCCAUCACAAUCUGGCCCUUGUUAAAGUCACUCAGAUCCUUACACUUGCCCAUUUUUCCUGCUUCCAACACAUUAACUUUGACAACUGCCUGUUCGCGUAGUGUCUAAUAUAUCC